UGGUUGGAAAUCCAGCACAUGAGAUGGGCAUACUCUCGAGUCUGAGCAUGCAAAUACCAUGAACUGCACAAAACCUUUUAUACUAUUACCUAAUUAUUCAUAAUAUAUAUAUAUAUACAUAAAAAUAAACCCAAAAAUUAGGACAUGCUAAUUUUUUGUAUUUUUUAAAUUAUAUUUUGUAUAAUAUUAUAAUAUAUAUAUAUAUAACAGUUAUUUAUAUAACCUUUUGAUGGUUUUUUUUCCUCACACUUGUCACAUAUUUUUUUAUUAAAAAUUCUUUUACUUCUAUAUAAUUUUAUUUACAUAAAAUAAAAAUUAUUUAUUAUUUAUAUAAUUAUAAAAAUUUAUAUUCUAUAGUUAACAUAUAGGGUGCAAAUCUAUUAUAUAUAUUUAAUCAUGUAUAUAUAUAUAUGAAAAGGGUAUGGUAAAUAUAGACAUAGUAAUUAAUCAUAUAUGUGUGUGUGUGUGUGUAUACACAUAUAUACCUUGGGGCUUUGGCCUUUAGCAAGCUCACUGUAUAAAGCUGGAUUCUUGCUGCAAUAUAUAUUUAUAAAGGUCAGGCAGUGAUAUAAUAUGUCCAUCUAUCCAUCCAUCAGAUAAAUGCAUAUUAUAUGUAUAUGUAUAUGUAUAUAUUAUAGGAAUGAAUAAAAACUAACUCAUAUUUUUCCUUCUUGAAGUAAAUGAAGCCUUCUUUCAUUCUGUCAACUGGAUUGAAUGGUUUGGUGUCGGAGGAGGAUGUCUGUAACUCAGCUGUUAUUUGCUCCACUUUUGCUGCUGCUACAGUUUUCAGCUCUUCCUUCUCACUGCAACCAAACCAAAUUGUAAUUACUACUCCAACUUAUAUAUAUAUAUAUAUAUAUAUAUGUAUGUAUUAAAUUUAAGUGACAAAAAUAUUUUGAAAUCUUUUAAAAAUUAGUCGGGUAUGUAAAAUCCAGAAAUGAUUAAAAGUUGGAUAUGUGAAAUAAGAAGAAAUAUUGAUGU
rnacentral:lncRNA from 1 species